UAGUCAUAUGCUUGUCUCAAAGAUUAAGCCAUGCAUGUCUAAGUACAAGCCUCACUAAGGUGAAACCGCGAAUGGCUCAUUAAAUCACACCUAAUCUACUGGAUAGCUAACAGUUACUUGGAUAACUGCGGUAAUUCUGGAGCUAAUACAUGCACAAAGCCCCGAACUUACGUGAGGGGCGCUUUUAUUAGAUCAAAACCAAACGGCUUCGGCUGUAUCCUUGGUGACUCUGAAUAACUUUGGGCUGAUCGCAUGGCCUAGCGCCGGCGACAUAUCCUUCGAAGGUGUGCCCUAUCAGCUGUCGACUGUGGCAUAGACGCCCACAGUGGUUUUGACGGGUAACGGGGAAUCAGGGUUCGAUUCCGGAGAGGGAGCCUUAAAAACGGCUACCACAUCUAAGGAAGGCAGCAGGCACGCAAAUUACCCAAUGACCGAAGGUCGAGGUAGUAACAAAAAAUAACGAUACGGGACUCAUCUGAGGCCCCGUAAUCGGAAUGAGUACACUUUAAAACCGUCCCCGAGGAUCUAUU
rnacentral:rRNA from 1 species